rnacentral:misc_RNA from 1 species
UUUCCGUAGGUGAACCUGCGGAAGGAUCAUUCAUAAUAAGUGUUUUAUGGCACUUUUUUAAAUCCAUAUCCACCUUGUGUGCAAGUCAGGGUUGAUUUUUCUCUCGAGAGGAUCAGCCCCAAACAUCAACUAUAUCUCAACUCUUUGUCUGAAAAAUAUUAUGAAUAAAACAAUUCAAAAUACAACUUUCAACAACGGAUCUCUUGGCUCUC